GUAAGGAAUAUUGGUCAAUGGGCGCAAGCCUGAACCAGCCAUGCCGCGUGCAGGAAGACGGCCCUCCGGGUUGUAAACUGCUUUUGUACGGGAAUAAACCUCUCUACGUGUAGGGAGCUGAAUGUACCGUAAGAAUAAGGAUCGGCUAACUCCGUGCCAGCAGCCGCGGUAAUACGGAGGAUCCAAGCGUUAUCCGGAUUUAUUGGGUUUAACGGGUGCGUAGGCGGCCUGUUAAGUCAGGGGUGAAAGACGGUGGCUCAACCAUCGCAGUGCCCUUGAUACUGAUGGGCUUGAAUAGACUAGAGGUAGGCGGAAUGUGACAAGUAGCGGUGAAAUGCAUAGAUAUGUCACAGAACACCGAUUGCGAAGGCAGCUUACUAUGGUCUGAUUGACGCUGAGGCACGAAAGCGUGGGGAUCGAACAGGAUUAGAUACCCUGGUAGUCC
rnacentral:rRNA from 1 species